UGUGACCAACCUAUCUCCCUUAAUGGACUGC
rnacentral:piRNA from 1 species